rnacentral:rRNA from 1 species
CCUGACGCAGCGACGCCGCGUGCGGGUAGAAGGCCUUCGGGUUGUAAACCGCUUUCGGGAGGGACGAAAAUGACGGUACCUCCAGAAGAAGGCCUGGCCAACUACGUGCCAGCAGCCGCGGUAAUACGUAGGGGCCAAGCGUUGUCCGGAUUUAUUGGGCGUAAAGGGCUCGUAGGCGGUUUGACAAGUCGGACGUGAAAACCCAGGGCUUAACCCCGGGACGCCGUUCGAAACUGUCAUGACUAGGGUCCGGUAGAGGUGAGUGGAAUUCUCGGUGUAGCGGUGGAAUGCGCAGAUAUCGAGAGGAACACCAGUAGCGAAGGCGGCUCACUGGGCCGGUACCGACGCUGAGGAGCGAAAGCGUGGGGAGCAAACAGGAUUAGAUACCCUGGUAGUCCACGCCGUAAACGUUGAACACUAGGUGUGGCGAGUUAAUCCAUACUUGCCGUGCCGCACGUAACGCAUUAAGUGUUCCGCCUGGGGAGUACGG